rnacentral:tRNA from 1 species
GCGCCCAUAGCUCAGUUGGUAGAGCGGCUCCCUCUUAAGGAGAUGGUCGGGGGUUCGAAUCCCUCUGGGCGCA